AUUGAACGCUGGCGGCAUGCCUUACACAUGCAAGUCGAACGGUAACAGGUCUUCGGAUGCUGACGAGUGGCGAACGGGUGAGUAAUACAUCGGAACGUGCCUAGUAGUGGGGGAUAACUACUCGAAAUAGUGGCUAAUACCACAUGAGAUCUACGGAUGAAAGCAGGGAAUCGCAAGACCUUGUGCUACUAGAGCGGCCGAUGGCAGAUUAGGUAGUUGGUGGGAUAAAAGCUUACCAAGCCGACGAUCUGUAGCUGGUCUGAGAGGACGAUCAGCCACACUGGGACUGAGACACGGCCCAGACUCCUACGGGAGGCAGCAGUGGGGAAUUUUGGACAAUGGGCGCAAGCCUGAUCCAGCAAUGCCGCGUGCAGGAUGAAGGCCUUCGGGUUGUAAACUGCUUUUGUACGGAACGAAAAGCCCCGGGUUAAUACCCUGGGGUCAUGACGGUACCGUAAGAAUAAGCACCGGCUAACUACGUGCCAGCAGCCGCGGUAA
rnacentral:rRNA from 1 species